rnacentral:rRNA from 1 species
UUUUGCGCAAUGCUCGUAAGAGUGACGCAGCGACGCCGCGUGAAUGACGAAGGCCUUCGGGUCGUAAAGUUCUUUCGACAGGGAAGAAAAUGCCUAUAAGUAACUGUGUAUGUAUUGACGGUAACUGUAUACGCAGCCCCGGCUAACUCCGUGCCAGCAGACGCGGUAAGACGGAGGGGGCGAGCGUUGUUCGGAGUGACUGGGCGUCAAGAGGACGUAGGCGGGGUUGUAAGUCAUUAGUCAAAGACUAGAGCUCAACUUUAGUAAGGCUAGUGAUACUAUAAUACUAGAGUAUCAGAGAGGAUUGCAGAAUUCCUGGUGUAGCGGUGAAAUGCGUAGAUAUCAGGAGGAAUACCGUUAGCGAAGGCGGCAAUCUGGCUGGAAACUGACGCUGAGGUGCGAAAGCGUGGGUAGCAAACAGG